UGAUAAUGAGCUGAAAAUUAGGACUAGCUACAGCACAUCUCCCCAGCAACGGUUACCUUGAUUCCUUGGAAGGGAAGGAGGGGGAAACAAGAAGUGCUUUGUUGGAUCUAUUCUAUUAAAAUACACAAUUGAUCUGAAAAGAUAACAACGGAAAACAUGGACAACAGCAGAAAGUAGAUCAAUGGAUUGCUACAUCUGGAAAUAAAUGUUCCCAUAUUCUAAA
rnacentral:lncRNA from 11 species